rnacentral:tRNA from 1 species
GCUCUAGUGGUGCAAUUGGUUAGCACAUGGUACUUAUAAUGCUGAAGUUGUGAGUUCAAUUUUCACCUAGAGCA